GCACUGCAGCCCAAAACAUGGGUAUUUUUGCAGACCAGGUCUUGUAUACAAAGAAGCAAGGGUCUGCAGGUAUUCAUCGUCCUCAAGGACCUCAACUACAUUAAACAUUCUCAAAAGAGUGAUCAAUUAAAUUCCUUGAUCACAGUUGAUCUACAUAGUAGCUUAAUAGUCUGAGUGUUUAUCAGGUAAAACAGGAGGUGAAGAACCUUUUUCUUUAUUUGUCAUAUGAGUGAG
rnacentral:misc_RNA from 1 species